rnacentral:rRNA from 1 species
UACGGAGGGUGCGAGCGUUGUCCGGAAUCACUGGGCGUAAAGGGCGCGUAGGCGGCUCGGCACGUCCGUUGUGAAAUCGCCCGGCUCAACUGGGCGGGGUCAGCGGAUACGGUCGAGCUUGAGCAAGCUAGGGGGUAAUGGAAUUCCCGGUGUAGUGGUGGAAUGCGUAGAUAUCGGGAGGAACACCAGUGGCGAAGGCGGUUACCUGGGGCUUUGCUGACGCUGAUGCGCGAAAGCGUGGGGAGCGAUCCGG